GAGGGAACGAAUAAGAUGGAACAACGAUGGGCUGCCUGUCAACUCUCUUGAUUUUUUGCCUUAGAGAAAGAGAACAAUAUACAUCUCUUUCAACUCGAAGGUUAAAUCGUUAUUUGAAAUUUGAAUUUAAGGCAAAGAAUUGUGAAUACUUGCUCUACAAAGUUUGCUACUUACGAAGGCAGUGUACUUUUAUUUUGAGAGAAUCUAGUGAGAAGAAGAGACUUUUUUUAGUGGAAUUUUGCUACUAAAUUUAUUUUGUGGGAAAGAAAGACUUUCAAAUUUUUUGUUCUUUUGAGAACAUCCAUCAUGUCUCAAAGUUGCGUAGCAUUUAACUGCACAGCUAGAAGUAAGAAAGGGUAGAAUAUAAAAUUUCACUCUUUUCCGAAUCCAGGCACAUUGAGAAAUGAAUGGAUAUUGGCUUUGAGAAGAGCCGAUUUUGUUCCUACUCAAUAUUCAAGGAUAUGCAGCAAUCAUUUUCAGGAAAAUGAUUAUCUAACGAAUAUGCAAGGAAAAAGUGUUUUAAAGAAAAAUGCUGUUCCAUCUAAAUUUAACUUUAAAAACUAUCUGUCAAAGUACAAAAUUUUAAAAAAGGAAGAAUCCUCAGACACUAACGUUCCAUCAUCCCAGGAAGGAAAUCAACUGAAUUCAGAAUCCCUACCACCCAUAAAAACAAUGGAACAUGGUAGUAAUAUCAGAAAAAGAAAAAGAUCAGUACCUGUAUGCGUGAAUGAUUUUGUAGAAGCUGAUCUUGAAAACCCUGCUAAGCGACACAAAUAUUGGAAUAUUUCUCAAUCUGCCAUUUCUAAACUGAGGGAAACCAAUAAAAAAUUUGCUACCAUGAUUUGCAAGUACAAGAAAAAAAUAAAUACUUUGAAUGAUCUCCAGGAUAUGAUUUAAAAAAAAAGAUUUCAAAUUUCUUCUGAAUCCUCGAUAGUACUAAAGGUAUUCACUCAUGAAAUAAACAUUAUUAUUAUUUAA